GGCGCAGAAAUGUAGCUUAGUUGGUCAAAGGGCUUGUUUGGUAAACAGGGAAUCCUGGGUUCGGAUCCCGGUGGGGUCU